AUUGAACGCUGGCGGCAUGCCUUACACAUGCAAGUCGAACGGUAACGCGGGGCAACCUGGCGACGAGUGGCGAACGGGUGAGUAAUAUAUCGGAACGUGCCCAAUAGUGGGGGAUAGCCCGGCGAAAGCCGGAUUAAUACCGCAUGAGACCUGAGGGUGAAAGCGGGGGAUCGCAAGACCUCGCGCUAUUGGAGCGGCCGAUAUCAGAUUAGGUAGUUGGUGGGGUAAAAGCCUACCAAGCCGACGAUCUGUAGCUGGUCUGAGAGGACGACCAGCCACACUGGGACUGAGACACGGCCCAGACUCCUACGGGAGGCAGCAGUGGGGAAUUUUGGACAAUGGGCGCAAGCCUGAUCCAGCCAUGCCGCGUGCGGGAAGAAGGCCUUCGGGUUGUAAACCGCUUUUGUCAGGGAAGAAAUCUUCUGGGCUAAUACCUCGGGAGGAUGACGGUACCUGAAGAAUAAGCACCGGCUAACUACGUG
rnacentral:rRNA from 1 species